UCUUCCCAAGCUCAGGACCACUCGCCCCCGCCCCCGCCCAUGCAUGAGAGAUGGCUGCUGGGGACGGAGUGAUGUGGAGAGCAAAAUGGUCACCCUGAGAUUCAGAGAGGCAAUGAUCUUCCUAAGGUCACACUGCUGGACUUGGGGAUCAAUUCCGUUCCCUUGGCUGUCUGUCUGUCUGAUGUCUGUGUGGUCUCCUCAGGAUAAUUGCUCUGGACAAGUGUAACACCACUCAGACAGAUUGUCCUACCUCCUGGCCCCGACAUCUCCCACCACUGAAUCAAGCCAAAUUACCCAGCCCCCCCCCCCCAGCCUGGGGCUCUGGUGAAAUCCGAUUAGUGAGGAGAGAGCUGUGCUGAGCUGACAGCUCCUCCGAUAAUUGCUUCCCAAGUAAGCGAUGCAAAUCCACCCACCCACCCGGCUCUGCUCCUCUGCGGGGACCCAGGCAUCCAGCCCCAGGAGGUGGAGGAUGCCUGAGUUUGGGAGACUUGAAGCUGUCACGUGUCCCCCGUUAGGUGGGCAUUAAUUGGUGAAGCUGGGCUCUGCUGCCUUGGGGCUGAGGUAGGGGUAAGGGGAGGAGAGGCUGAGCCAGGGAUCCCACUGGCUUUGCAUUUCUGUCCUCUCAGUCCUUGGAGAAGAGACCUAUGUACCAGUUUCCCUGUAGGUAGAAGGAAGACGUGUGGAAGACGCAGACCAGCAACAUCCGAAGCAAAGAGCUGUUACGAAACAAAUAAAUGAACCCAUGGCCUAGCCCUCCUGGUUCUUCAGUUUUGGAAGAGAGGUGGGAAUGGGACCUGGGGUGGGGAAGCAGACAGCCUCCUCCAUCUGUAAGUCCCCCACCCCCAGGCUGGAGAAGGACAUGGAGGGUUAAGUCCUGACAGAAGUGGAGCCGAGCUGUGAGACGAGGUGUCUGGAGGCUUGAUCAAGCUUUGAGACUUCUGAGCCUGUGCCAAGGAUGUGUCCUUGGGAUGCAGUGGCCCUUGCUCACUUCAACAUCAGGAACCCCUCUCCGCUUCCCUAAGGCACGGUACUUUUUAAGGACCUCUUAAUAUAGCCCUUUCUUUUUUUAAAAAAUAUAUAUUUUUUCCAGUUGUU